GUCCACGCCGUAAACGAUGGGCACUAGGUGCUUGGGGGAGCGACCCCCUGAGUGCCGACGCUAACGCAUUAAGUGCCCCGCCUGGGGAGUACGACCGCAAGGUUGAAACUCAAAGGAAUUGACGGGGGCCCGCACAAGCGGUGGAGCAUGUGGUUUAAUUCGACGCAACGCGAAGAACCUUACCCAGGCUUGACAUGGCCGUGAACUCGGUGGGAAACCGCCGGGGUCCUUCAGGACGCGGUCACAGGUGCUGCAUGGCUGUCGU
rnacentral:rRNA from 1 species